rfam:Schistosoma haematobium scaffold465_28, whole genome shotgun sequence.
GCACUGCUGAAGAGUCACAUACUAGGACGAAACGGCCGUCCAGUGC